rnacentral:rRNA from 1 species
UACGAAGGGGGCUAGCGUUGUUCGGAAUUACUGGGCGUAAAGCGUGCGCAGGCGGCUUCUCAAGUCAGGGGUGAAAGCCCAGAGCUCAACUCUGGAAUUGCCUUUGAGACUGAGAGGCUUGAGUACGGGAGAGGUGAGUGGAAUUCCUGGUGUAGCGGUGAAAUGCGCAGAUAUCAGGAGGAACACCAAUGGCGAAGGCAGCUCGCUGGGACGUGACUGACGCUGAGACGCGAAAGCGUGGGGAGCAAACAGG